rnacentral:pre_miRNA from 1 species
UGUAACAGCAACUCCAUGUGGAAGCAUCAGUCCAUUCCAGUGGGGGGGCUGUUAUUUU